CUAACCUUAGUCAAUUUUUCUUUUUCCCUUUCUUUCUCUUCUCCUCCCUCUAACGGCGACCAUCCCUCAGUCGUCGUCUCUCUGUUCCUCCUUCCGACCAGCCAUCGUCUCUCUCUUCCUCCUUCCGGCCAGCCAUCGUCUCUCUCUUCCUCUGCUCCCUAGCGACGACCAGCCCGAGGGAUAGGAAACUUUCUUACAUCUGGCUUUUCCUCCUGCGGAAAGUUGAAGCUAUACGCAUUUUGUGUAUCUCCCAUAUAGUUGUAUUUACUAGUGAGGUUAUUUCUGCUAGCAAGAUAUGUUUUUGAUAUGGAUUGAUCUGUUGAUGCUGGUAUUAACUAGUCAAGAAGAGAAAUGAUAUUGUUCGUUGACGUUCUAGGAAAGACCAGAGCCAGAGAUGCAGCAUUGAAGGCCAUUCAAUCUCCUUUACUGGACAUUGGCAUAGAGAGGGCUACUGGAAUUGUGUGGAAUAUAACUGGCGGUAGUGAUCUAACAUUAUUUGUGAGCCAGAUAUUGGUGAUAUCGGACUGGAGCAUAGUUAAAGCGGGAUCGUAAGGAUUCAAGGUAGAGCUACUUGGCCGUCGCAGUCCCUUGGG